AACGAACGCUGGCGGCAUGCCUAACACAUGCAAGUCGAACGAGACCUUCGGGUCUAGUGGCGCACGGGUGCGUAACGCGUGGGAACCUGCCCUUAGGUUCGGAAUAACUCCCCGAAAGGGGUGCUAAUACCGGAUAAUGUCUUCGGACCAAAGAUUUAUCGCCUUUGGAUGGGCCCGCGUUGGAUUAGCUAGUUGGUAGGGUAAAAGCCUACCAAGGCGACGAUCCAUAGCUGGUCUGAGAGGAUGAUCAGCCACACUGGGACUGAGACACGGCCCAGACUCCUACGGGAGGAAGCAGUGGGGAAUAUUGGACAAUGGGCGAAAGCCUGAUCCAGCAAUGCCGCGGGAGUGAUGAAGGCCUUAGGGUUGUAAAGCUCUUUUACCCGGGAGGAUAAUGACAGUACCGGGAGAAAAAGCUCCGGCUAACUCCGUG
rnacentral:rRNA from 1 species